rnacentral:rRNA from 1 species
AGCAGCCGCGGUAAUUCCAGCUCCAAUAGCGUAUAUUAAAGUUGUUGCAGUUAAAAAGCUCGUAGUUGAAUUUCGAGAUCAAAUUGUUGGUCGUGCCUUGGUACGCACUGGCAUUAUUGGUUUCUCCCUUCUGAAGAACCAUGAUGUCAUUAAUUUGGUGUCUUGGGGAAUCAGGACUGUUACUUUGAAAAAAUUGAGUGUUUAAAGCAGGCUCGCGCUUGAAUACAUUAGCAUGGAAUAAUGAAAUAAGACGUUUGAUUCUAUUUUGUUGGUUUCUAGGAUCGACGUAAUGAUUAAUAGGGAUAGUUGGGGGCAUUAGUAUUCAAUUGUCAGAGGUGAAAUUCUUGGAUUUAUUGAAGACUAACUACUGCGAAAGCAUUUGCCAAGGAUGUUUUCAUUAAUCAAGAACGAAGUUAGGGAUCGAAGACGAUCAGAUACCGUCGCAGUCUUAACCAUAAACUAUGCCGACUAGGGAUCGGAUGAUGUUAAUUUUUAUGACUC